rnacentral:rRNA from 1 species
CCUACGGGUGGCAGCAGUGGGGAAUAUUGCACAAUGGGCGCAAGCCUGAUGCAGCAACGCCGCGUGAGCGAAGAAGGUCUUCGGAGCGUAAAGCUUCUUUCUUCAGGAAGCAGGAACUGACGGUACUCAAGGAGGAAGCCCCGGCUAACUACGGGCCAGCAGCCCCGGUAAUACGUAGGGGGCAAGCGUUAUCCGGAUUUAUUGGGCGUAAGGAGUACGUAGGUGGGUUUGUAAGCGAGCGGUGAAAGGCAGUGGCUUAACCAUUGUAAGCCUUGCAAACUGGAAGUCUUGAGUGCAGGAGAGGAAAGCGGAAUGCCUAGUGUAGCGGUGAAAUGCUUAGAUAUUACGAGGAACCCCAGUGGCGAAGGCGGCUUUCUGGACUGUAACUGACACUGAGGUACGAAAGCGUGGGGAGCGAACAGGAUUAGAUACCCCGGUAGUC